CAGCAGCCGCGGUAAUACAGAGGGUGCGAGCGUUAAUCGGAUUUACUGGGCGUAAAGCGUGCGUAGGCGGCUUCUUAAGUCGGAUGUGAAAUCCCUGAGCUUAACUUAGGAAUUGCAUUCGAUACUGGGGAGCUAGAGUAUGGGAGAGGAUGGUAGAAUUCCAGGUGUAGCGGUGAAAUGCGUAGAGAUCUGGAGGAAUACCGAUGGCGAAGGCAGCCAUCUGGCCUAAUACUGACGCUGAGGUACGAAAGCAUGGGGAGCAAACAGGAUUAGAGACCCGAGUAGUCCCUGUCUCUUAUAC
rnacentral:rRNA from 1 species